rnacentral:tRNA from 1 species
CCCCCUCGGUGCUGCGCGCGCAGCGCGUGCGCCCGCCGCGCGCGCCAGAGGGACACUGAGGCCCUGCCCCGUGUUCAGCCCCGGGCGGGGGCC